GCGAGGCCGCGAGGUGGAGCGAAUCCCAGAAAGUAUGUCGUAGUCCGGAUUGGAGUCUGCAACUCGACUCCAUGAAGUCGGAAUCGCUAGUAAUCGUGAAUCAGAAUGUCACGGUGAAUACGUUCCCGGGCCUUGUACACACCGCCCGUCACACCAUGGGAGUGGGCUGCACCAGAAGUAGAUAGCUUAACCUUCGGGAGGGCGUUUACCACGGUGUGGUUCAUGACUGGGGUGAAGUCGUAACAAGGUAGCCCUAGGGGAACCUGGGGCUGGAUCACCUCCUUAACGA
rnacentral:rRNA from 1 species